rnacentral:rRNA from 1 species
GAUGAACGCUGGCGGCGUGCCUAACACAUGCAAGUCGAACGGAGCUGCUUUGAUGAGAUCUUCGGAUGGAUUUAAAACAGCUUAGUGGCGGACGGGUGAGUAACGCGUGGGUAACCUGCCUCACACUGGGGGAUAACAGUUAGAAAUAGCUGCUAAUACCGCAUAAGCGCACGGUUCCGCAUGGAACAGUGUGAAAAACUCCGGUGGUGUGAGAUGGACCCGCGUCUGAUUAGCCAGUUGGCGGGGUAACGGCCCACCAAAGCGACGAUCAGUAGCCGGCCUGAGAGGGUGAACGGCCACAUUGGGACUGAGACACGGCCCAAACUCCUACGGGAGGCAGCAGUGGGAAUAUUGCACAAUGGGGAAACCCUGAUGCAGCGACGCCGCGUGAGUGAAGAAGUAUUCGGUAUGUAAAGCUCUAUCAGCAGGGAAGAAAGUGACGGUACCU